GGGGGCGGAUGGGGUACUGGUGUCCUUCCCGGUCUUCAAAACCGAGUGGGCGGCACGGGUUGUCGCCGGUGGGUUCGAUUCCCACACGCUCCC
rnacentral:tRNA from 1 species